GAUGAACGCUGGCGGCGUGCCUAAUACAUGCAAGUCGAGCGAACAGACGAGGAGCUUGCUCCUCUGACGUUAGCGGCGGACGGGUGAGUAACACGUGGAUAACCUACCUAUAAGACUGGGAUAACUUCGGGAAACCGGCGCUAAUACCGGAUAAUAUAUUGAACCGCAUGGUUCAAUAGUGAAAGACGGUUUUGCUGUCACUUAUAGAUGGAUCCGCGCCGCAUUAGCUAGUUGGUAAGGUAACGGCUUACCAAGGCAACGAUGCGUAGCCGACCUGAGAGGGUGAUCGGCCACACUGGAACUGAGACACGGUCCAGACUCCUACGGGAGGCAGCAGUAGGGAAUCUUCCGCAAUGGGCGAAAGCCUGACGGAGCAACGCCGCGUGAGUGAUGAAGGUCUUCGGAUCGUAAAACUCUGUUAUUGGGGAAGAACAAAUGUGUAAGUAACUAUGCACGUCUUGACGGUACCUAAUCAGAAAGCCACGGCUAACUACGUG
rnacentral:rRNA from 1 species